rnacentral:rRNA from 1 species
AUACGUAGGUGACAAGCGUUAUCCGGAUUUACUGGGCGUAAAGGGCGUGUAGGCGGUCUUGCAAGUCAGAAGUGAAAUUCCUGAGCUCAACUCGGGCGCUGCUUCUGAAACUGCAGGACUUGAGUGCUGGAGGGGAUAGCGGAAUUCCUAGUGGAGCGGUAAAAUGCGCAGAGAGUAGGAAGAACACCGGUGGCGAAGGCGGAUAUCUGGACAGUAACUGACGCUUAGGCGAGAAAGCGAGGGGAACAAACAAGAUUAGAUACCCUGGUAGUCCACGUCGUAAACGAUGAAUACAAGGUGUCGGGUAGAAAAGCCAUUCGAUGCCGCAGCUAACGCAAUAAGUAUUCCACCUGGGGAGUACGUUCGCAAGAAUGAAACUCAAAGGCAUUGACAGGG